UGACGGCCAUAUCACGUUGAAACACCAGUUACCGUACGAUCACCGAAGUUAAGCAACGUCGAGCCUGUUCAGUACCUAGAUAGGUGACCGCUUGUGAAUACGAGGUACUGGA